rnacentral:tRNA from 1 species
AGCUUAUUGAGUUUUUAGAUUGCAAAUCUUUAUAUGUUGUUAAACUUAAGCUU